rnacentral:lncRNA from 1 species
UGGUUUUUUCAUUCUUGAGGAAAACUCCUCAGUUCCCGCACGGGUGGGUGACUCAGUUGAGCUCGAGUGGCCAGCCCGACAUCAGCCUGCUCCGCUGCCGCUCAAUAACCACCAAAACACGAAAAGAAAAACUAUUUUACCUUUCGGCGUGGGCGAUUCGGCCUUGGUUUGGAUCCCCCUGGUCUUCUUUCAGUCACCCCGUGGUUAUCUAGCUCAUUUGCUAUUCAAAUGGUGAUUUCUCAAACCUAUAAACUGAUUAGUAAGCACAAUAAAAAGAUUCCGAAGAAAUAGGAGAAUAAGAACGAAAAGAACGAAGCUUUACCUUACUCGCAUCGGUCUCUGCCUUCGCACGACGUCUUGCCCAUUUUCCCUUCCUUCUUCUUCCUUUCGACUUUGACUUGCACACUGUCCCGCCUCCACCACUCUCUCUCUUCUUUUCUUCCCUUGCGAUGGCCGUUCUCGACUCUCCUUCUCUUCCCGCUCGGCCACUCCUCUCUUUUCUUCCUUUUCCCUUUUUUUUUCCUGCCUCCCUCUUCUUUCCCUCUCUCUUUUCU